GUGAGCAACUUGCCCGUGACAGGGGGAUAACCGAUGGAAACGUCGCCUAAUACCCCAUAACAACCGGAGAGGCAUCUUUUUGGUUGAAAAUUCCGAUGGUCACGGAUGGGCUCGCGGGACAUUAGCCAGUUGGCGGGGUAACGGCCCACCAAAGCGACGAUGUCUAGGGGUUCUGAGAGGAAGGUCCCCCACACUGGAACUGAGACACGGUCCAGACUCCUACGGGAGGCAGCAGUGAGGAAUAUUGGACAAUGGAGGCAACUCUGAUCCAGCCAUGCCGCGUGAAGGACGAAGGCCCUACGGGUCGUAAACUUCUUUUGUCGUGGAGCAAUAAGGUGUACGCGUACACCGAUGAGAGUACACGACGAAUAAGCAUCGGCUAACUCCGUGCCAGCAGCCGCGGUAAUACGGAGGAUGCGAGCGUUAUCCGGAUUUAUUGGGUUUAAAGGGUGCGUAGGCGGACGCGUAAGUCAGCGGUGAAAGGUACCGGCUCAACCGGUGAGCUGCCGUUGAUACUGCGCGACUGGAAUGCGGAUGCCGUGGGAGGAAUGUGUGGUGUAGCGGUGAAAUGCAUAGAUAUCACACAGAACACCGAUUGCGAAGGCAUCUCACGAAUCCGUUAUUGACGCUGAGGCACGAAGGCGUGGGGAUCAAACAGGAUUAGAUACCCUGGUAGUCCACGCAGUAAACGAUGAUGGCUAACUGCCGGCGAUACAAUGUCGGUGGCCAAGCGAAAGCGAUAAGCCAUCCACCUGGGGAGUACGACCGCAAGGUUGAAACUCAAAGGAAUUGACGGGGGCCCGCACAAGCGAAGGAACAUGUGGUUUAAUUCGAUGAUACGCGAGGAACCUUACCCGGGCUCGAACGGCUGAGGAAUGAU
rnacentral:rRNA from 1 species